UUCCCGGGCAAGGAUACUAGAGAGGGUUGCCAUUUCCUUCUCUAGUGUGUUUUCCCAAC
ensembl:miRNA